UCCUCCUCUCGCCUCCGUCGUCUUACUCCUCCUUUCUCUGUCUCUGGAAUCCUAUCGUCAUCUUCCUCGCAUGCAAGGCUCUGGCCCUCUCAAUUGAAACCAAAACGUGUUUCAGUUCUGAGGAAGAGCAAGAAAAAGGAAGAACCAAUAUUAGAAGAUCUUCCCAAAGAGUACUAUGAUGAUUCUAAGCCAUGAAGGAUUUGAUAAACCCAUAAUUGAUAACAAUGUG